UGGACAGCGAGAGAGAGAGACAGAGAGAAAGGUCUUCCUUUUUCGUUGGUUCAUCCCACAGUGGCCGCUACGGCCGGCGCACCAUGCUGAUCCGAAGCCAGGAGCCAGGUCUUUCCUCCUGGUUUCCCAUGUGGGUGCAGGGCCCAAGCACUUGGGCCAUCCUCCACUGCACUCCCGGGCUACAGCAGAGAGCUGGACAGGAAGAGGAGAGACCGGGACAGAAUUCAGCACAGCGCCCCAACCGGGACUAGAACCCUGUGUGCCUGAGAAUACGAAGAACUCUGAAUUGUUGUGCAGAGUACUUAGGAAAAGAAGGUUUCAAAGUUGGCUACAAUCAGUGGAAGUAUGGCUUUUUGCAUUUAUGGUUGCUAACUUAUAGUAGAGGGCAGUCACACAAGGUAUUGGAAUGUGAAGUUACGUGAGAAACUGAAACCCCUUGAGCUACAGGAGGCAUAAAAGGUCCAGUCCUUGGCAAAGGAGUCCAUAGAGGUGGAAUGGCGUCUACCACUGGAGAUUGAACAGUCUACGGAGGCCAUGGACUAUGUGCAGAAAUGUUUGUAAUAAUGAGAAUGGAUUUGACCACUGCCAUAUGGAAGAAAAGCUCAAGAUCUUCAAGGGAAAAGAUAGGAACUUGCCUGGUCCUUGUGCCCUCUACUGUCCAAGAAACAAGAACUGAAAUAAUCGCCUCUGAUUCAAACAUGAAAGUCCAAGAUUGAGGGUGUUGAAACAGCCCUGCUACUCCUUGACUAUUACAGGUCACCUGUUGCAGUAUGAGUUACCAGCACAAGGUGCCAGUGCAGCAUUAUCCUGCUGGAAAAGGCACUUCUCUGGAAUUCUGACUGGCGAUAGGCACACAGCGCAGAAAGGAAAUGUAUAACAAAGCUACCAAGAACAUCAACGUUUGCAAGUCUAAAAUCAGUAAACAGUUGUACUCUAUAAGCAGGUGUAUUGGGACCGACGCUGUGGCGCACUAGGCAAAGCCUCUGCCUGCGGUGCCAGCAUCCAGCUGCUCCUCUUCAGAUCCAGCUCUUUGCUUAUGGCCUGGGAAAGCAGUGGGAGAUGGCUCAAGUGCUUGGGUCCUUGCACCCGCGUGGGAGAAACAGAAGUUUCUGGCUUCCAAUUAGCCAUUGUGGCCAU